rnacentral:ncRNA from 1 species
GUUCUCAGGGCGGGGUGCAAUUCCCCACCGGCGGUAUAGCCCGCGAGCGCCUUAGCAAUAAGGGUCAGCAGAUCCGGUGAAACUCCGGGGCCGACGGUAUAGUCCGGAUGAAAGAGAAC